rnacentral:ncRNA from 2 species
CUUGUUUCUCAGGGCGGGGUGCAAGUCCCCACCGGCGGUAUUCCGGGUACGUAUCCGGAGAGCCCGCGAGCGCUUUCGCUGCAAGGCGGAAGGUCAGCAGAUUUGGUGCAAAGCCAAAGCCGACGGUCAUAGUCCGGACGAAAGAGAAUGAGA